ACUCAAAGGAAUUGACGGGGGCUCACACAAGCGGUGGAGGAUGUGGUUUAAUUCGAAGCAACGCGCAGAACCUUACCAGGUCUUGACAUACCGGGAUUAACCGUGUGAAAGCAUGGAGAUUGCCAGCAAUGGUGUAACCGGAACAGGUGCUGCAUGGCUGUCGUCAGCUCGUGCCGCGAGGUGUUAGGUUAAGUCCUUUAACGAGCGAAACCCCUACGUUUAGUUACCAGCGCGUCAUGGCGGGGACUCUAGACGGACUGCCGCGCAAGCAGGAGGAAGGUGGGGACGACGUCAAGUCAUCAUGGCCUUUAUGACCUGGGCCACACACGUCCUACAAUGGGUUCUACAAAGGGACGCAGAACCGUAAGGCGAAGCCAAUCCCCGAAAGGAACCCUCAGUUCAGAUUGUGGGCUGCAAUUCGCCCACAUGAAGCUGGAAUCGCUAGUAAUCGCGGAUCAGCCACGCCGCGGUGAAUUUGUUCCUGAGCCUUGUACACACCGCCCGU
rnacentral:rRNA from 1 species